rnacentral:rRNA from 1 species
UAAUGUAUGGGGAUCUGCCCGAUAGAGGGGGAUAACUACUGGAAACGGUGGCUAAUACCGCAUAAUGUCUACGGACUAAAGCAGGGGCUCUUCGGACCUUGCACUAUCGGAUGAACCCAUAUGGGAUUAGCUAGUAGGUGGGGUAAAGACUCACCUAGGCGACGAUCUCUAGCUGGUCUGAGAGGAUGAUCAGCCACACUGGGACUGAGACACGGCCCAG